AGAGUUUGAUCAUGGCUCAGGAUGAACGCUAGCGGCAGGCUUAACACAUGCAAGUCGAGGGGUAUUUAUCUUCGGAUAGAGAGACCGGCGCACGGGUGCGUAACGCGUAUGCAAUCUACCUUUUGCAGAGGGAUAGCCCAGAGAAAUUUGGAUUAAUACCUCAUAGUAUAGCAGUUUCGCAUGAAACCACUAUUAAAGUCACAACGGCAAAAGAUGAGCAUGCGUCCCAUUAGCUAGUUGGUAAGGUAACGGCUUACCAAGGCUACGAUGGGUAGGGGUCCUGAGAGGGAGAUCCCCCACACUGGUACUGAGACACGGACCAGACUCCUACGGGAGGCAGCAGUGAGGAAUAUUGGACAAUGGGCGCAAGCCUGAUCCAGCCAUGCCGCGUGCAGGAUGACGGUCCUAUGGAUUGUAAACUGCUUUUGCACAGGAAGAAACAACUCUACGUGUAGAGUCUUGACGGUACUGUGAGAAUAAGGAUCGGCUAACUCCGUGCCAGCAGCCGCGGUAAUACGGAGGAUCCAAGCGUUAUCCGGAAUCAUUGGGUUUAAAGGGUCCGUAGGCGGUUUAGUAAGUCAGUGGUGAAAGCCCAUCGCUCAACGGUGGAACGGCCAUUGAUACUGCUAGACUUGAAUUAUUAGGAAGUAACUAGAAUAUGUAGUGUAGCGGUGAAAUGCUUAGAGAUUACAUGGAAUACCAAUUGCGAAGGCAGGUUACUACUAAUGGAUUGACGCUGAUGGACGAAAGCGUGGGUAGCGAACAGGAUUAGAUACCCUAGUAGUCC
rnacentral:rRNA from 1 species